UUUGAAGAAAACAGGGUGUUGCCUAAAGGAUGAAAGUGUUGAGUCUUUUGUACCUGUUGACAGCCCUUCCUGGUAUCCUGUCUGAGGUACAGCUUCAGGAGUCAGGACCUGGCCUGGUGAAACCCUCUCAGUCUCUGUCCCUCACCUGCUCUGUCACUGGCUACUCCAUCACCAGUGGUUAUUACUGGAGCUGGAUCCGGCACUUUCCAGGAAACAAACUGGAGUGGAUGGGAUACAUAAGCUACGAUGGUAGCAAUAACUACAACCCAUCUCUCAAAAAUCGAAUCUCCAUCACUCGUGACACAUCUAAGAACCAGUUCUUCCUGAAGUUGAAUUCUGUGACUACUGAAGACACAGCCACAUAUUAUUGUGCAAGAGACACAGUGUGGAGCCUUCAGUGUGAGCCCAGACAUAAACCUCCUGUAGAGCAGCUCUGCACCAACAGGGGUCUUGUCACAUACCCUUAG